rnacentral:tRNA from 1 species
CAGCCUUCCAAGCUGAGGGUCGCGGGUUCGAGUCCCGUCUCCCGCU